GUGCGUAUAAUUUAAAAAAAUAUUAGAUUGUGGUUCUAAAAAUGAAAGUUAAACUCUUUCUGUGCACC
rnacentral:tRNA from 1 species